GGGGUUUUAAAAGUGUCCGUAGCUGGUUUUCGUAAAGCGGAUUGUCAAAAACCCCGAAGCUCCACUUCGGCCAAAGCAUUCUGAACUGCGAGACUUGAGUCCUGCUCAGGUAGGCGGAAUUCCCGGUGUAGCGGUGAAAAUGCGUAGAUAUCGGGAGGAACACCAGUGGCGAAGGCGGCCUACUGGAGCGGCACUGACGGUCAGGGACGAAAGCGUG
rnacentral:rRNA from 1 species